rnacentral:SRP_RNA from 1 species
GCCGGGCAUGGUGGCGGGCGCCUGUAAUCCCAAUUACUCGGGAGGCUGAGGUAGGAGAAUCGCUUGAGCCCAGGAGGUUGCAGUGAGUCGACAUCGUGCCAUUGCACUCCAACCUGGGCAACAGAGUGAGACUCUGUCUCAA